ensembl:lncRNA novel transcript, antisense to ADAMTS17
GUAACCAUCACUACCAUCAGGGCAUCCUGCAGAAGCAGGCUGGAGGCUGCAGCCUGGACUUCAUAAAACACGCCACAUCCUGCGUCUCUUUGGGAAGCCCCGGAGAUGGCUGGUAAUCCACCCACCCAAGGCCUGUCCCGCCUCUUCCCAUUCACCUGGGCUGGAUCCAUGGAGGCAAGAAACUCCAUAGAAAACUACAUGGGAAAAAGGAGCAUGUUGUUUUCAUUCACAACAGAAAACAGAGCUACGGUGCCACUGCGAAAGAUCGAAGAGACUACCAAGGUGUAAAUAUUAUAGGAGCAAAAAGGCCCACAGCUAGCAGAGUUCAGGCCCUGGCAAGGUUUACUGAAGGCUUCAUGUUGGAAAGGCUUCAUCAGGAAGGGGCCUGCGGCUGGGAGGAGUGGGAAUGCUGCAGGCUCUUUCUGUUCCUUCUGCCAUCGCCCUGCCCCACAGGACGAUGCUGCUGGACAACAGAGAUUGGACGUGAAGAUGCAUCAAUGACUAACAAUCCGACGUGCUGAGACCCACAAACCCUCAGCUGUCUGUGUACCGAGGCCCUGCAAAUUCUCCCAUUCCUCAAUGAUAAAAUACAGGAAAAAGCAAGGGAGAGAACAGCCACGACUAUCAUGGCGAGGGAGAGGGAGGACCUGAUGAAGAAGAAGAGUGAAAGAUUUUCACAACUUUGUGAUUUACAGAACAGCCUCUCUCCUGGGGCCAUGGGACCUGGGGGAAUGGGGUGAGAAUCCCAAUAUAAGAAACCCCAUGGCAGGCCAGGCCAGCGAGAGUACGAGAGUACACUAAUGCCGCUGUCUGAACUGGGUGGUGUUUAGGAUCCCCCCAGAGCAAAAUGCCCCUGUGGUAUCCCAGAGCAACCAUGGGUGGGCAGGGCAGGAAGCAGUUCAGAUGGUGACAGGGUUCCUGCCAAGACAUGAAGGCAAAAAGCUCUGGAAAGCCUUGUCUUUGGGCUACCAAUGCCAGGGAAGCCCUAGCUAAUGUCAUCCCGAGAAGGCAGACAACACCAGUUCCCUUCAAAGAGGCACCUAUGGCAUUUGCAUAGCGUUGAUAACGUCUUAUUCUUGCAAAUGUUGCCCUCGCCUAGAGACAACUUAAAUGUUGACAGUCUCAGGACACUGGCUCCUUCAGACAUUCAGAGGUUCUGAUAUCCUCCUGCUAUGAUGUUUACUGGGUGUCACCUGUUAUGAGAUAAGACACGUAACGUGCCAAGAAGACCAGUCUUCCACUAGGACCCACAAACUCCAAUCACAAACGUGGAGCACCCAUGACAACCACAAUCCCUGCCAAUUUCUCUCUGCACUUAACAAAGCCUUAGACAGGGAAGGGCAACUGGUACCAUCCUCGUUCUUCUGUGAGUGCUAAUAACAAGAGGGGCUGCUUAUUAAAUACACACCAAGGACUUUCUGUGCAUUCCCAUGAAUUCUUCCAAGUUUCAGAUGAAAAGACAAGUACCAGCCGUCGGCGCUAUAAGAAGUCAUGCUGGCAGCCAGGCACAGUGGCUCACACCUGUAAUCCCAGCACUUUGGGAGGACAAGGUGGGCAGAUCACCUCAGGUCAGGAGUUUGAGACCAGCCUGACCAACAUGGAGAAACCCCAUCUCUACUAAAAUUACAAAAUUAGCCGAGUGUGGUGGUGCAUGGCUAUAAUCCCAGCUACUCGGGAGGCUGAGGCAGGAGAAUCGCUUGAACCUGGGAGGUGGAGGCUGUGAUGAGCCGAGAUCGCGCCAUUGCACUACAGCCUGGGCAACAAGAGCGAAACUCCGUCUC